rnacentral:rRNA from 1 species
UACGGAGGAUGCGAGCGUUAUCCGGAUUUAUUGGGUUUAAAGGGUACGUAGGCGGCUUUUUAAGUCAGCGGUGGAAUUUUGCAGCUUAACUGUAACAGUGCCGUUGAUACUGGGGAGCUAGGAUUUGGUUGCUGUGGGUGGAAUGUGUGGUGUAGCGGUGAAAUGCUUAGAGAUCACACAGAAUAUCGAUUGCGAAGGCAGCUCACAAAGCCAAGAUUGACGCUGAGGCACGAAAGUGUGGGGAUCAAACAGGAUUAGAUA